rnacentral:rRNA from 1 species
AACGAACGCUGGCGGCAUGCCUAACACAUGCAAGUCGAACGAGACCUUCGGGUCUAGUGGCGCACGGGUGCGUAACGCGUGGGAACCUGCCCUUAGGUUCGGAAUAACUCCCCGAAAGGGGUGCUAAUACCGGAUAAUGUCUUCGGACCAAAGAUUUAUCGCCUUUGGAUGGGCCCGCGUUGGAUUAGCUAGUUGGUAGGGUAAAAGCCUACCAAGGCGACGAUCCAUAGCUGGUCUGAGAGGAUGAUCAGCCACACUGGGACUGAGACACGGCCCAGACUCCUACGGGAGGGAGCAGUGGGGAAUAUUGGACAAUGGGCGAAAGCCUGAUCCAGCCAUGCGGGGUGAGUGAGGAAGGCCUUAGGGUUGUAAAGCUCUUUUACCCGGGAUGAUAAUGACAGUACCGGGAGAAUAAGCUCCGGCUAACUCCGUG